UACUCGACUCCUACGGGAGGCAGCAGUGGGGAAUAUUGGACAAUGGGCGCAAGCCUGAUCCAGCCAUGCCGCGUGUGUGAAGAAGGCCUUCGGGUUGUAAAGCACUUUCAGCGAGGAGGAAGGGUGUUGUGUUAAUAGCACAGCAUUUGACGUUACUCGCAGAAGAAGCACCGGCUAACUCCGUGCCAGCAGCCGCGGUAAUACGGAGGGUGCGAGCGUUAAUCGGAAUUACUGGGCGUAAAGCGCGCGUAGGCGGCUUGAUAAGCCGGUUGUGAAAGCCCCGGGCUCAACCUGGGAACGGCAUCCGGAACUGUCAGGCUAGAGUGCAGGAGAGGAAGGUAGAAUUCCCGGUGUAGCGGUGAAAUGCGUAGAGAUCGGGAGGAAUACCAGUGGCGAAGGCGGCCUUCUGGACUGACACUGACGCUGAGGUGCGAAAGCGUGGGUAGCAAACAGGAUUAGAUACCCUGGUAG
rnacentral:rRNA from 1 species